CUGAGCUUAACUGGAAGUCCCUUAGAACUAGAGGAUAAACUAUCAGCAUUCCUUGAACAGAUCUAAGAGUGUCACGGGUGUCACAUCUAGCCAGAGUUCCAGAGUCUGAAUGUCCAGAACCUAGCAAAACUCUGAUGUUUCUAACACAGCUGUGGCUCAAGCUCACGAUUUUGCCUCCAACUCACAGCCACUAGAAUGAAACCUCACUGGAGUGGUUCUCCGUCUCAUAGAGCGCCUCACUAUCAAGAGAACUAGAAGUGCUUAUAUACCUGGGGCAGUGACGAGACUGUGACUGUAGGACUUGAGAGGCAGAGGCAGGAGGCAAAGGCAAGCUCAAGGCCAACCUGGGAGCCUAGUGAGUACCAGCCCAGCUGGGGCCAGCAUCUCCCUCCCAAACCCGAAGACACCGUAAGCAUCAGUGGAUGUCAGUGCAAAGCUGCCCGGAUGUUUGGAUCUGGAUUUUCAACUAUUGACUGCUACGGAGAGCAUAGAACAUGGAAUUUUCAUCGCUCACCUGGGUUUUACUCUGGUUAGAGGCAUCUCAAGGAUUCUUCAUGUGGCUGGCCUUCUCUGACUGAACACAGGAGGAAGCCUCCGUCCUUGAGGCAGUUAUGGGUUCAGAAGGAUAUGACAUCAUACCUGUCAUGGUCUCCCCAAAUUUUUCUGUGGGAAGACUGGGAACGUUUCAGAGCUCUCUAAUUCACCUUCACUCAGCAGUUCCUUUUUAUUUUCUGCCUACUUAGCUGCUUCACACAGAGAGCUGUAAUUAAAGGACAAGAUAGAUUUCAACACGACAAACUAUCAGUGUGAAGAUCAAGUUGUUGAGUUUCCAUACUCCUGAAUUACUCCUUCUAAUAAGCACAAGGAGUCUUCAUCGUGGGGCCUGUGCCCUGCUUGAGGUCUGUCUAUUUUUUUAUAUUUUUGCCUUUCUGGGGAUGGAAUCUAUACAUGCCAGGCAAAGGGCUUCUUUACAGCUAAGCUGUACCUCUUAGUCUAAAUAAUAGCUUGCAAAAAUGUAAGAAAAAUGAAAAUUUAUUACAGAAUUUUUUUAAAGAAUCCUUAAAAUUGAACAGGAACAAAAACCCUUUAAUCCAGCAUCAAGACACAAAACGAAACCAAAUAAACAAA